rnacentral:rRNA from 1 species
GACGAACGCUAGCUACAGGCUUAACACAUGCAAGUCGAGGGACCGGCGCACGGGUGAGUAACACGUAUUCAACCUUCCCUUUACUCGGGGAUAGCCUUACGAAAGAAAGAUUACUAACCGAAGUAAAGGAUGGGGAUGCGUUGCUUUAGGGUGUUGGUGGGGUAACGGCUCACCAAGCCUUCGAUGGAUAGGGGUUCGGAGAGGAAGGGCCCCCACAUGGGAACUGGGACACGGUCCAAACUCCUACGGGAGGCAGCAGUGAGGAAUAUAGGUCAAGGGGAGUUAGCAUGAACCAGCCAAGUAGCGUGCAGGAUGAAGGCUUAUGGGUCGUAAACUUCUUUUAUAAAAGAAUAUGUAUUAUAUGAAUAAGGAUCGGCUAACUCCGUGCCAGCAGCCGCGGUAAUUC